rnacentral:rRNA from 1 species
CAGUCGCCGCGGUAAUACGUAGGUCCCGAGCGUUGUCCGGAAUUAUUGGGCGUAAAGGGCUCGCAGGCGGUUUCUUAAGUCUGAUGUGAAAGCCCCCGGCUCAACCGGGGAGGGUCAUUGGAAACUGGGAAACUUGAGUGCAGAAGAGGAGAGUGGAAUUCCACGUGUAGCGGUGAAAUGCGUGGAGAUGUGGAGGAACACCAGUGGCGAAGGCGACUCUCUGGUCUGUAACUGACGCUGAGGAGCGAAAGCGUGGGGAGCGAACAGGAUUAGAUACCCGUGUAGUCCCUGUCUCUUAUAC